UCCGAGUUGACCCCGGCAGUCUUCGAUGAGUCCCCGGCAUAACCCGCUGGCAACAUCGAACGAGGGUUGCGCUCGUUGCGGGACUUAACCCAACAUCUCACGACACGAGCUGACGACAGCCAUGCACCACCUGUGCACUGGUCCCGAAGGAGGACCGUAUUUCUACGGUUUUCCAGUGCAUGUCAAGCCCUGGUAAGGUUUCUCGCUUAGCUUCGAAUUAAACCACAUGCUCCACCGCUUGUGCGAGCCCCCGUCAAUUCCUUUGAGUUUUAGCCUUGCGGCCGUACUUCCCAGGCGGUUCACUUACCGCGUUAGCUGCGCCACCGACAAGUAAACUUGCCGACGGCUAGCUUCCAUCGUUUACAGCGUGGACUAC
rnacentral:misc_RNA from 1 species